rnacentral:RNase_P_RNA from 1 species
GAAGCUCGCCAGACCGCCGCUGGUGCAAUCUCCGAAAGGAGGCACUGGAGGAACGUCCGGACUGCACAGGACAGCGCAGGAGGUAAUACCUCUCCACCGUGAGGUGAGGAUCAGAGCAACAGAGACGAGCCGAUUCAGUUCGGGUGAAACGGGCAAUCUCUGCGCGCAGCAAUACCAAGUAGGCCAGCGUUGAUGUGGUUCCGCAGAGUUGGCGGGUAGGUAGCAUCGAGCCGGGUGGGCAACCCCCGGCCCAGAGUAAUGGCGGUCACGCAGCGGGCAACCGCUGUGCACAGAAUCCGGCUUAUCGGCGAGCUUCACAC